UACGGAGGGGGCGAGUGUUGUUCGGAAUUACUGGGCGUAAAGGGCGCGCAGGCGGCAUGGCAAGUCGAGUGUGAAAUCCCUUGGCUUAACUAAGGAAUGGCGCUCGAAACUACCGCGCUGGAGGGCGGGAGAGGGAAGUGGAACUCUCGGUGUAGGGGUGAAAUCUGUAGAUAUCGAGAGGAACACCGGUGGCGAAGGCGGCUUCCUGGCCCGUACCUGACGCUGAGGCGCGAAAGCGUGGGGAGCAAACAGG
rnacentral:rRNA from 1 species